CUAUCGGGGGGAUGNCNUCAGNUNACGGCGAGUGAGCGGCAAAAGCUCAAAUUUGAAAUCUAGCACUUUCAGUGUUCGAGUUGUAAUUUGAAGAAGGUAACUUUGGUUUUGGCUCUUGUCUAUGUUCCUUGGAACAGGACGUCACAGAGGGUGAGAAUCCCGUGCGAUGAGAUGCCCAAUUCCAUGUAAAGUGCUUUCGAAGAGUCGAGUUGUUUGGGAAUGCAGCUCUAAGUGGGUGGUAAAUUCCAUCUAAAGCUAAAUAUUGGCGAGAGACCGAUAGCGAACAAGUACAGUGAUGGAAAGAUGAAAAGAACUUUGAAAAGAGAGUGAAAAAGUACGUGAAAUUGUUGAAAGGGAAGGGCUUGAGAUCAGACUUGGUAUUUUGCGUUCCCUUCCUUUUUGGUUGGGUUCCUCGCAGUUUACUGGGCCAGCAUCGGUUUGGAUGGUAGGAUAAUGACAUUGGAAUGUAGCUUUACUUCGGUGAAGUGUUAUAGACUUUGUUGAUACUGCCUAUCUAGACCGAGGACUGCGUCUUUGACUAGGAUGCUGGCGUAAUGAUCUUAAGCCGCCCGCUAGAAACAAGAGACACAAACAA
rnacentral:rRNA from 1 species